GACGAACGCUGGCGGCGUGCUUAACACAUGCAAGUCGAACGGAAAGGCCCUGCUUUUGUGGGGUGCUCGAGUGGCGAACGGGUGAGUAACACGUGAGUAACCUGCCCUUGACUUUGGGAUAACUUCAGGAAACUGGGGCUAAUACCGGAUAGGAGCUCCUGCUGCAUGGUGGGGGUUGGAAAGUUUCGGCGGUUGGGGAUGGACUCGCGGCUUAUCAGCUUGUUGGGGGGGUAGUGGCUUACCAAGGCUUUGACGGGUGGCCGGCCUGAGAGGGUGACCGGCCACAUUGGGACUGCGAUACGGCCCAGACUCCUACGGGAGGCAGCAGUGGGGAAUAUUGCACAAUGGGCGGAAGCCUGAUGCAGCAACGCCGCGUGCGGGAUGACGGCCUUCGGGUUGUAAACCGCUUUCGCCUGUGACGAAGCGUGAGUGACGGUAAUGGGUAAAGAAGCACCGGCUAACUACGUG
rnacentral:rRNA from 1 species